rnacentral:lncRNA from 1 species
CACCCACGAAAAGAAAAGGUCAGAACUCUCGAUCUAGCCCCACUUUCUAUAGCUAUUUAUCGACAUGUUGUUUCGAAUGUCCUUGAAAAGGCCUACACACAUACCCUGCCACUCGAUGUAGGUUUUGCCAGCGAUGUGUAGUGGGUUUGUUCAGUAGAGAUGGGUAAAGCGCACAAGUAUUGGAAGGAAAGUUUAACCCUUCUUAAAGGAUAAAAAGUCUGUAUUGAUCUAUAAUUUGAAUUCCUUUCUUAUUAGUUUCCAAGUGAAAAAUGUUCAUUGCCUUGAUCAGAGCCUUUAAGCCUUUUAGAAGCGAGCAUUUCCGCUGCUUCUAUUUUUCCUAAAGCUAACCGAAUGGAAGAGACUCACUUAUUCUAAAUAAGAAAUAAGGAACCAACAAAAAAAAAAGAAUUGUUCCAACCUCAGCUCGGGG